AAACCAACAGGGAUUGCCUUAGUAGCGGCGAGUGAAGCGGCAAAAGCUCAAAUUUGAAAUCUGGUAUCUUCGAUGCCCGAGUUGUAAUUUGAAGAUCACAAUCUUGGAAUUGGUCCUUGUCUAUGUUCCUUGGAACAGGACGUCACAGAGGGUGAGAAUCCCGUGCGAUGAGGAUACCUUUUUCGUUUAAGAUGUGUUCGACGAGUCGAGUUGUUUGGGAAUGCAGCUCAAAGUGGGUGGUAAAUUCCAUCUAAAGCUAAAUAUUGGCGAGAGACCGAUAGCGAACAAGUACUGUGAAGGAAAGAUGAAAAGAACUUUGAAAAGAGAGUGAAAAAGUACGUGAAAUUGUUGAAAGGGAAGGGUAUUUAAUCAGACUUGGUAUUUAGUUAUCUCAUCUCCUUGUGGGUUGGGCUCUAACUUUUUACUGGGCCAGCAUCAGUUUUGGUGGUAAGAUAAUCGCAGUUGAAUGUGGCUCUUCGGAGUGUUAUAGCUUCUGUUGAUGUUACCUACCGGGACUGAGGUCUGCGACUUUGUCUAGGAUGCUGGCGUAAUGAUUAAACACCGC
rnacentral:rRNA from 1 species